rnacentral:rRNA from 1 species
GCCCUGUCGAGCUUAAGAAAAUUUUUAUUAUAUACUUUUAAAAGAUAAUUUUAUACCCUAAAUACAUAUAUAAAUAAAAAAAUCUUUGGUUGGGGCAACCACGAAGAAAAAAUAACCUUCGUUUUUAAACAAAAAUAAACAAAUUUAAAAUUUCAUAAAAUAAAAUUGAUCCAGAAAAUCUGAUCAUAGAAAAAAGUUACCGCAGGGAUAACAGCGUUAUUUUCUUUAAGAGUUCUUAUUGACAAGAAAGUUUGCGACCUCGAUGUUGGACCGGGGUAUCCUAGAGGUGCAAAAGCCUCUAAAGGUAGGUCUGUUCGACCUUUAAAACCCUACGUGAU